UUGGAAGCCUGUGACAUUGUCUUCUGUUUCACACGGUGAAGCUGCCAGCCUGCUUUGAGUGCUAGUAGGGACUCUGAAUUUGGACUUUUGAGUGACACUAGAUCUUUUAAAACAUUGGCUGCUCUUGGAGUUGGACUAGAUGCAUUUUCUAGAUAUGAGGAGGCUUUACCACGUGUUCCUGACACCACGGCUGUGUACUGACUGAGGGUAUCCACACAUACACACAGCACAGCAGCUGCAGCUGAGUUCUAUGUGGACCUCUGUGUAAGCAGUCCUGAGCAAGGAGGACAGAGGCCCUUACUGAAGGGUAGAAUCAACUGGAAAGUGAAUCUCAACUGAGGAAAUGUCGUCAUCGGAUUGGUGUACAGACAUGCUGUGGGGCAUUUUAAUUGUCGAUAUGGAGGCUCCAGCUCACUUUGAACAGUGAUAUCCCAGCAAGAUGGUCCCGGGUGUUAGGUCUGAAAGAUGAGGCCUUUCCUUCCUUUUUUCUUUUUUUCUCACUCAGUGGGAUGUCUAAGAACACAGGCCGAGCAAGUCAUGGGAAGCAAACCAGUCUGUCUGGGACUGGUGUCUGCCGAGGCAUUGAUCCACAGCAUCCCCUGAGAGUCUGACCUUCACCUGGCUGCUGAGUUCACCAGAGCGCAGUCAGUCGUGUGAUCGUCCUUGAGGACAAAGAGGCACCUUGUGAUUAAAAAUCACACAGACCCUGAGAUGGAGUGGAUCAGCCUAACAACCUUGAAGUCUCCUACGAUUUUUCACCGAGGAAAUAAUGAACACACACAUCAUGAAGAAUUACGCAGCGAGGAGAGCAACACCCUCACUUUAAGAAGUCUAGACUCAGAAAUAUGAAUGUCUUUGUCCCCAAAUAUGCCAGCUGGGAGCUGUGCUCAUCAAUCACUUCAGAAAUGGUUUCUUCCAAAUAAACGACCUCUCAUACU
rnacentral:lncRNA from 1 species